rnacentral:rRNA from 1 species
UACGGAGGAUGCGAGCGUUAUCCGGAUCUAUUGGGUUUAAAGGGUGCGUAGGCGGGAUGCCAAGUCAGCGGUAAAAAUGCGGUGCUCAACGCCGUCGAGCCGUUGAAACUGGCGUUCUUGAGUGGGCGAGAAGUAUGCGGAAUGCGUGGUGUAGCGGUGAAAUGCAUAGAUAUCACGCAGAACUCCGAUUGCGAAGGCAGCAUACCGGCGCCCUACUGACGCUGAGGCACGAAAGCGUGGGUAUCGAACAGG